GUUAGGAGAGGAUUUAGAGGAAGAUAAAGGAGUAUGUGCCCAAUUUCAAUAAAAAGACUGUCAUCAGCUAAAACACGGAGGAAAAAUGAGUAUUCAGCUUUUUGGCUGAACUCAAAAUGUGACAAAUCAAUGUGAAGAAGUUGUCAUACGCUAUUAGAUUGACCAUGAUGAUUCUGGUUUUUGCACAUUCCCUCCAUUUGCCUGCUGAAAAAUGUGCAUCUUUCUGUUCAGUUCCUGAAUUCCCUGCCUCUUUCCCCACUUCUUCAAAGCUACGCAGUGUAACGCUGCAGCUGCGAUGCAUGCUAGAAGCACCACGGUGAUUUCAGGGGAACUGCUGGAAUAAACCGAGAAUUUCCCAAGUAGGAAUCUGCUCCUUCAAGCUGAUGAUAACAGGUCAAAUGUCAGAGACAGCCGUCGCCUACUAUUUGUUUUACUGAGCUGCUUAUUGUGGAAAACAAAUUCCCCGUGCAUACAGAAAUCCAUUGGGCAGGGCUUUGCUGUCACUUUGAGGUCAGCACAGAAGGUUUGGUUUGUGCUGUUCUCACUUGAGAAAUUCAAGUAUCUGACACACAUGCGGCUGUGAACCCAUUGCCAUCCUCGAGGAGCAGUGCUGCUGCCUAAAGUUUUUUGAAAUCUUCAAAACAAGACAUUUUUAUGCAGUGCCCCCACAACGUGACAUUGAUGUGGUGUAUAACAAAUAUAUUCUACCCAACAUUUGCAAGUGAAAAAGGUUGGAUUUUAAUUCACUAAUCUAAAUUGCAGCUGCACGUGGAAGCAGCUUGUAUUAAUUGAGUUCUGUGAAGGCACCUGGUGGUGCCAGCAGGGUUGCAUUCAGCUGAUGUGGUGCCCUGUCUGUAAUACUUGCUGAGGUGUACUGGGUAUGGCGACAUUUCCAAAGGUACUGACUGUUUUAUACCACCACCUAUUCAUCGCUCAAAGGCACCUUUUUAAUUGGGGAACUCAUUAUUUCAAAAUGGUGAAACGGAGCCACGUGGUGUGACCUGGAGGGAGCUGCGGUCUGGCUGGCAGGGGCAGCAGAGCUGGUAUUACUGUGACAUUUAUCACCCUUCUGUCGAGGCAUCCUAUUGCUAGCACUUCAAACUGUCGAAAACUGAAAAAGGCAGCACAUCUGAUAUUUCCAGAGGUCAUUCUGACUUGCUUAGUACAAAAUUUGGGACUAAAAAAAUUCCAGACUUUUUAAAAUACCGUUGUUCAGAUCCUGUAGCAGCACUGUACAAGAACGUAAGAGGAGCGGGUGGUUUUCUCCUGCAUUAGCAUGUGUUUGGAUCAAGCACGGGUUUGGGUAAUUGAAGCUGGAGGAAGAAGUUCUGUGCUUUUAAUAUACAGCUCAGAUACUGCUGUCACACUUCGCAGCAGAAAAUUCCUGAGGAACAAAGUGAAUGGAAUCAAGAAAUGCCUCCAGUGACCCUGACGGUGUCCCUCCAUAAUAAUCCUGAGAAGACCCACCCCAGAGUAUGUUACAGAACGAGUGACUACAGAAAAAUCUGACAUGUACAUGGCUACUCAGAGUAGUUUGCGAAGAGCUGCUUUGGUAAGAUGUUUUGGAAAUUGCUUCUUGCAGAGACCUAAACUUCUGCCAACACAAACUCCGAUGGAAAGCACACCAAGACAAAAGCUGUUUUCUUUACCUCGAAUGCCCCGAGAAUUGGCAAGACAAAAGAAAUACACGCCGAAGUGAAAACAACAGCUGCAAAACUAUUGCUCUGACGGAGGAGCAAGGUGCUGAAGUUUACGAGGAGCAGUAAGCAUUUAUCCCACAGGGAAAUGAGAGUGCCCGGCUGCAGUCGUGUGCACGGCGCCAGGGCUCCGAUUUAGCACUGCUCUUACACCAGAGAGUGCCAGAGGGGAUAGGAAGCGGCUGAGGAAGCUAAAGGAGCCAGUGAACAGUCCCAGAAAGAGAAAAAGAACCUGCUGCUCUGCAUCCUACAAUAAAUGCUGCUCCACCAGCAAGAGAGGCUGCAAAUUAACCCAAGGUAGUGAGGAAUAAAAAUAGGCUUGGAAGUGAACGGGUCGCUGCUCAAUUAGGGAAACAACUGCGUAGCCAUUAAAAUCACAAGUUCAGGACUGCGAGCAAAUGAGCAGAAUGUGGAAAAGGAUAAAGGGUAUUUGAGAGGAAAUAAUGGGGAAAUUCUGGCAGUUCUCAGUUUGAAUAAAAGUAAUGAUCUUAACCAGCGCAAAGCGCUCGACAGAAGGUAAAUGCAUGGCCCCAUUAAAGGCUCUAAGUGUUAGAUAAAAGUGACCUCUAAUGGGGAAUAUAAAGAAAAAAAACACACACACACACACCACGAUGGCCUUAAAGAUAGUGUACGGGCAGGCUGAAAAGAGAGCAUCUGUUUUGGUGUCACAGGGCUAAUGGCUGAAGUAUUUUAAGGGGAAACUUCACAAGUUUGACGAGAACAAGGGAAGAGCCGCCUUGCCCUGGCUGUGCCCACACGUGUGAUCUCACAGCUGUGGCACGGGGUCUCUCCCAAAACCACACACCUCGGCAGGAGGGAGCACCUCCAGCAGCGGGGUCAGGCCGUUAAAAGUCCGGCUAAUUACCCCGCGGUGCCAAACGAGACGGUGGUGGCUGGUGCUCGGCUGGUGAGGAUCGUGGCAGUGCUUUGGUGGGGCGCGGCAGCUUUGCUCUCAGCAGGUGAAACGGGCCCAAAAGAAAUGAGCAAUGCAAUAGUUUAGCCCUUAAGGCAGUGGUGAUCGAGAAAAACAAUUCUGGUGCAAUUACUCUGCUUAGAAAAAAUAGAAGCAGGGUAGAAAAAGGAAAAUCCUGUCAAGUCUCGUUGGGAAUAUUUACCCUCUAAAUGGUGGAUGAGCAAAAUACUUGAAAAAUCUUGUCCAAUUUCAAAGUUUUGGUUACUAAGGAAAUCCUGCCCUGAAUUUUAGGGAAGAGAGAUUGAAAAUAAAACUGGAGAUAUCCAAAACUUGAAGGGGAUAUGCUCAGUCCUUCCGAAGUUCCCAUACUGUACUGGAGUAUUGGUUGACAGCAUCGCAGUCCUGUGGCAUCAAAGCUUUUUGGUGUUAGAGGAACCUCAUUUUUUUAAUUCAUAACUCAGUCAAAGUCAUGUCAGAACUCAGAAACAGUGGUCACAGCCUGUAAAAACCCACAAAGCAAAGGAGGGAGAAGAACAGGAUAGGUGUUUGUUGGUUUUGAAUUAUUUUAUUUUUAUUUUUUUAACCUGUUGUCUAGAUGGAGAAGUUGACGUGAGGCAUUUGUAGCAGGGGUGGAAUAUCUGGCAGGUGGCCCUCCAGCCCUCUAAUAAAAGACACAGAAUCACAGCCAAUAGCAAGUAAUUGGAAGAGAAAAACAGGAGAAGGAAAUGUCAAACAGCACUGGAAGCAUUAACGUAGGAAGGGAAAUUAUUGGUAAAUAUGUAGGAGGAACUAAACCAGCUCCCUUUAUAAGUGUAAAAGGGCAGUUAUAGGUGAAGGGCGGGUACCCUGGUAUUAAGUAUCUAAUUGGGA